CGUUCCCAUACCGAACACGGAAGUUAAGCUUCUCAGCGCCGAUGGUAGUUGGGGCACGCGCCCCUGUGAGAGUAGGACGUUGCCAGGC
rnacentral:rRNA from 1 species